rnacentral:rRNA from 1 species
UACGGAGGGUGCGAGCGUUAAUCGGAAUUACUGGGCGUAAAGGGUGCGUAGGUGGUUGAAUAAGUUAUCUGUGAAAGGCCUGGGCUUAACCUAGGGAAGUCAGAUAAGACUGUUGAGCUAGAGUAUGGGAGAGGGUAGUAGAAUUUCCGGUGUAGCGGUGAAAUGCGUAGAGAUCGGAAGGAAUACCGGUGGCGAAGGCGGCUACCUGGCCUAAUACUGACACUGAGGCGCGAAAGCGUGGGGAGCAAACAGG